rnacentral:lncRNA from 1 species
UUCAACAGUUUUCUCUGCUUUCGUCUUUGAGGUACGAAGGCAUUUACGAUUGAGUAAUAUGAAUUGCUCCCACUCCAGCUUUUCUGAAACGUUCGAAUGGACCCUAAUUUACAGACAACAGCAAGAUAAAAGUCAUGGUCUAAUGAUACGGCUGUGCCCUUUAUCCAGCUGGAUGGGCCGAGAAGCCAACAAGCCCCUGAGGAAACCACAGGUCGGCUGAGCUGAUGCGCGCUUAGGGGUGACUGGUAGGCAGAAUCAGGAAAUGAACCGCAUCCAGACGCAGCUAAAAAUACUUCAGCGCUUUCCACCGGCCCCACAGACAGAAAUGCCAUCUGUGGAUUCUAAGCUCGCAGGCUUCUGGAACCUUGGAACACUGGGGAGACUUAAUUAUAACAGAAUUUUUCCAUAUACCAGACUAAUGCAGGAAUAGAGUAUGGGUAAAUGAGAACACCAAAGCUCCUGGAGGUUGCUUUGGUCCUGGCAUUUUAUUGCAGUCACCGAAAAGUAACUGAUAAUCAGUAGCCCAGAGAUUGAGAAGGGAGACUUGUAGGUGAAGACGAGGAAUCGUGAGAGAUAAAGGAAUGGGUGUGGGUUGAAAACCCAGGGCCCCAAAACUCCACGUGAAGUGACACCCACAUAUCCAUAUGUCAUCUUGUAUCUAUGCAAGUGUUAAGUCAGAGAAGAAACAAGGAGACAGCGGCUACCCCUGAAAGAGCUGCUCUCAGCCUGCUGUCCUCUCUCUCUGGCCAGAGUGUUACCUGUCACUGCUGUUUGCUGCAGGUGACUGUGGUGGAAGUGACCCUGGGAGGCCACCGUGUGUUUGGUGUUUUUACAGCACUGCCUCUUGGGCCCUUGCAGCCCA